ensembl:lncRNA
AGACAUCAGGACCACAGAGAGCCUUCACAUCUUCAGACUAAAGACACACCUCUUCACACUCUACCUCCACUAACACACUAACUAACUGCAGCACUUACAUUGGACUUAUGAUGGUUCUUAUCUACAGCAAGUUGGACAUCGGCUUAUUUGAGGCACUUUCUUGUUCUUCUGAGUUUCAAUUCAAUUCAUUUUAUUUUGUAGAGCCCAAAAUCGCAAAGUACUCAGAGGGUUUUACAGUCUGUACACAUACGAUACGAGUUUGUACCCUAUGGUUGAAAUGCACUUAUUGUAAGUUGCUUUGGACAAAAGAGUCAGCUAAAUGACAUGUGAUGUAAAGUGAUGUAAAGUGAUGUAAUGUGAUGCAAAGUGAUGUAAUGUGAUGUAAAGUGAUGUAAUGUGAUGUGAUGUAAAGUGAUGUGAUGUGAUGUCGGCCGGCCGACUCUUCAGCUGUAAGUAUCACCGGCGGAUCUCUCUCCUAGUAACGUAAUCCUCAUCUCAUGUUCUUACAGAUGUCUCUCCGACAGAAAGCUUAAUCCCAACAAAGACUCACCCAAACGCCAACGAACCACACAAGUACACAUCCAUGUCUGACUACAGUGUGUGUGUGUGUGUGUGUGUGAGGGGUCUUCAAGCUGAACUCCCACGUAGUUGUUCUUAGUUCUUCAAGGUGGCUGCGCUGAGGAAAGAGAACACAAACAUCUCCUGGGGGAGUCCCGUGCUCGUUUGGUCAGUUGACGGUAAUAAUGGUUUCAUGGACGGGGUCAAGUGGAACACCUGGAGAGUCCCAUGUGAACACCAACGGCGCCCGUCAAUCAGCGCGGACCGCUCUCAUUACUGGUACCGUAAAUGAGUCACAACUGCAGCAGGAGCCAAAUGGGUUUUUAAUGGGCUGUUGAUGAUAAAUAAAUCAUAACCAUUAACAAAAAAGGUGCCCACGCUGCCUACAAGCUGCCAUCAGUGAGGCUGAGUGGGGACCCACGGGAGGCGGCCGCCGCUCUGCUGGAAGCGGUACGAAAUUCCAGUAAGAUCCAUCACAAAUGUUUAUUGUCACAUCUUAAAAACAGAGUUGAGGUCAGAAGGUAAAAGCAAACCAGCUGGAGGACGAAGACGUGUUUGCAUAUUUAAAGAUGUGAGCAGCUGCGAAUAGGAUGGACAAGAAGCUUCUGGGACUCAGCUUCCAUAACAUGAAUAUUUGAAGGGGUGAGGAAGGCGAAGAGGAAAGAUUGUGGGAGGAAGAGGGUUGGGGGGGGCUGAGGAUGAACGAGGGUACGCAUCAGUGGGUGGGUUAGAGAGGAUAUUUCAGUGCUGCAGUCCCACUGCACGGCUUCUUUUUCCCACUUGAAGGAGAACAGGAGCUUCCUCACAGCGCAUUAUGUAACACAGAUGCCUCACGGAGCGAGCGUGACCCCCACAUUGACUAGACCCACCGCACCGCCCUGACGGAGAGAGAAAGGAGCUGCUGUGGCAUUUACUUAACCCCGAUCCCAAUUAAUGGCCUUCAACUCGAUUCUCUGAGUGCAGGCUUCCUGCACAGGCUUCCAAUGGCGUUUGUCGCUUUCAGUUCAAAGUUCUGUGCGACUGAAGUCGAGGAGGAGUUUAGGUCUGAAGGAAAAUGCACAGGAGAAAAACAAAGAAGGGAGGUUUCAUGUUGACGUCAUGCGCCGCUGUGCACGCGCGAGAGGGGAGGACGACGGGCGCCGAAUUCAGCCGGGCUGUUCGCCGCGCCACAGCAAACGCUGAGGUUUGUACGGAGCAGCUGCAGACCUGGGAGACCUGCGUAGUCUGGAGAGGCAGCCGGUUAGAGAAGAAACUCUACAAGUCUGCUGCUGCAUCGGGGUUUGAACUAAAAUGGUUCGUCACUGCAGCGACCGUCUGCUACGGGUUCCGCUUACAAAUGGGCAUGAAACUGUUAGUUAUUUGUAAAAUGCCAAAUGACUAUUUAUUGUGUUUGUACUGACCAUUGUGAGGGUGUUCGUUUGUUACAUUGAAGCUGUUGGACUUUGAACUACAUUUCAA